CGGGCCCGCGCCCCGGGCCGAGGCCUAGGCCGGCUCCGAUCCCGGGGCGGCCCUCGGGGGAGCGCGGGGAUGGGCGGAGGGACGGGCCUCGGCGCGGGCUGCAGCGGGGCGCCGCCGUGGGGCGGGACGGCCCCUGGCCUCCGGAGCCCGGCGGCUGCCUUCCUCGAAGCGCGCCGGAGGAGCGGCACGCGGUCUACCCUCGGCCCCAAAACCGGGGAGCUGACACGGAGGCACCGGCCUCGCAGAAGGGCGACGGGGAGACGCGCGACAGCGCAGGCACGAAAGCCACUGCGGGAGAGACGGCCGAGGGUCCCUGCUAACGGCCCGGCGUACCGGACGAGGGACCGAAGGUGCCAGAAGCUGGGGACAAGAUCUAUUGUUCUGGUUAGUUGGGAUUUUUUUUUUCCCCAUCUUUCUCUGGAGUUUGUGCCAGCUUGGAAUAGCCUUCAGCCUUGCAGAGUUGUGUGUAUGUGCAGAGGUAGAAUAAUGGACACAAAAAGGCAUUCUGGGCAACUUACCCUUGGGAGCCUGCCGAACUCCAAAACCAUCCUAUGGGUUGCAGUGCUGCUCAGAACUGACAUAGUUUAG
rnacentral:lncRNA from 1 species